AUAAAUCAUAUGGGCCUAUUUUAUUACAUCAUAUAUAUAUAUUUAUUUAUAAUUAAUUAGUAUUAAUUGAUUAAUUAUUAAUUAUUAUUACUUUAUUUUCACAGCAUUGAGGUAAAUCAUAUAGGCCUAUUUUAUUAUAUUUUGUAUUAUAUUAUAGUUAAGUAUAUAAUUAGUAGUUAAUCAUUAUUAAUAGGCCUAAUAAUGAUUGACAGGUCUAAUAAUGAUUGACAGGCCUGAUGAUGAUUGACAGGCCUAAUGAUGAUUGACGGGUCUAAUAAUGAUUGACAGGCCUAAUGAUGAUUGACGGGUCUAAUAAUGAUUGACAGGCCUAAUGAUGAUUUACAGGCCUAAUGUUGAUUGACAGGUCUAAUAAUGAUUGACAGGCCUAAUGAUGAUUGACAGGUCUAAUAAUGAUUGACAGGCCUAAUAAUGAUUGACAGGCCUAAUGAUGAUUUACAGGCCUAAUGAUGAUUUACAGGCCUAAUGAUGAUUGACAGGUCUAAUAAUGAUUGACAGGCCUAAUGAUGAUUUACAGGCCUAAUGAUGAUUGACAGGUCUAAUAAUGAUUGACAGGCCUAAUGAUGAUUGACAGGUCUAAUAAUGAUUGACAGGCCUAAUGAUGAUUUACAGGCCUAAUGAUGAUUGACAGGCCUAAUGAUGAUUUACAGGCCUAAUGAUGAUUGACAGGUCUGAUGAUGAUUUACAGGCCUAAUGUUGAUUGACAGGUCUAAUAAUGAUUGACAGGCCUAAUGAUGAUUGACAGGUCUAAUAAUGAUUGACAGGCCUAAUGAUGAUUGACAGGUCUAAUAAUGAUUGACAGGCCUAAUGAUGAUUGACAGGUCUAAUAAUGAUUGACAGGCCUAAUGAUGAUUGACAGGUCUAAUGAUGAUUGACAGGUCUGAUGAUGAUUUACAGGCCUGAUGUUGAUUGACAGAUCUAAUAAUGAUUGACAGGCCUAAUGAUGACUGACAGGUCUAAUGAUGAUUGACAGGCCUAAUGAUGAUUGACAGGUCUAAAUGAUUGACAGGUCUAAUAACAGCAUGUGAUGUGUGUG